GUGGUGGCUCAGUGGUAGAGUGCUUGCCUAGCAUGUGUGAGGCACUGGGUUCGAUUCUCAGCAUCACA
rnacentral:tRNA from 1 species